UGUUCGAGAGUGCACCCAUCAUUGUCCGUCGUGUGUUGGAGGAAUUAAACGACCCAAACCUACUACCUGGUGCUCGAAACUGUGAGAAGAAUCUGUGUAAACUCGCAAACAGGUGUCGCAAGUAAAUGCGACCAACAGACCCAGUAUCGACAGAAUUUUGAGCACGAUGAGCAGUACCUGAGCGAUGCGCUCAACGAUCCCUUUUACAGGGGAACGGUCACGGUAAAGGACCAGAAGCACGUGAUUCUGGCGACUGACACGCAGUUGGAGCUGCUGGCGAAAGCUAAAACCUGGUACUUGGACGGAACCUUCAAAGUCAUGAAGGCGCCAAUAACGCAGCUGUUCUCAAUACAUGCCUUCGUGAAGUAUGAAGAUGUAGUGAAACAGCUGCCACUGUGCUUCGUUCUCAUGACUGGGAGACAACAAAGGGAUUAUAAAAAGGUGUUGCAGAAAGUGAACACUCUUCUCAGUGAACCGAAAGUAACAACGUUCGUUGUUGACUUUGAGGCCGGUCUAUGACAGGCUUUGCGCCAAGUCUACACGGAUCCCGAUAUCAAGGGCUGCGCCUUCGACUUCGGCCAGGCAAUGUGGCGAAAGUGUCAGGAGAUUGGACUCAGUACGGCGUAGGAGAGUAAGGAUCGAGUAUAUAAGUUGCUACGGAAGUGCUUCGCGCUCCCUCUUCUGCCACCAGCUGACAUCCGUCCCGCGUUCGGUAAAAUAGAGGAGAAAGGCCAAAGCGAACAACUAGCCCCCUUCUUCGCCUAUGUUGAAAACACGUGGCUGACGAACAACGUAUGGACAGUUGACAACUGGUCGGUGUACGGGAGAUCAGCGAGGACCAACAACGACGUAGAAGGCUGGCACAACCGCCUUAACCGGCGGGCGAAGAAGGGAAAUCUCUCAUUCUACCUGCUAAUCACUCUGCUGUUUGACGAAGCUAAAGAGGUGCCUAUGCAGUGCAAGCUCAUCAAGGAAAAGAAAUUACAUCGUCAUCAGAGUAGGCAGACCCGUGCCACCCAAGGGCGUUUGUGCGCGGCUUGGGACCGCUAUGGGAAAAAAGAGAUUAGUACAAGUGAGCUUCUAAAUGAGUGCUGUAGACUGUAUGGACCUGUGUAAAUGUGCACGUGUGUUUGUUUGUUUGCUACUGUGAACGAUUGAGUAAAAAGGUAUA